rnacentral:lncRNA from 1 species
CGCCGCGCCUCACACCGUGAUGUUUCUGGCCACUUCCCCGAGGCCCGCCUCCUCCACACUUCCCAGGACUGCCCCACCCCCCUUUCGUCCGGACCCAGAGGAGAGCGGCUCUCACCCGGGCCGGGCCGGGCCUUUCCCGGUCACUGCAGUAAGCUCCCAAUGGAUGUCCCCGCCUCGAGCCACUGGGCCACAGACUGGAGGCUGGGGGUCCCCCGGGGCCCCUCCCCCCCGGGUCCCUAGAGGUCAGGGGCGGGAAGUGACCCAACCCCUCGCCCUUUCCACGCCCGCCCCUCCUUUCCCGGGUCGGCGGCCAGCCUGAGGAUCGCGGCCAGCGCGCGGCGCUAGGACCGCGCGGCCUAACAUCGCAAGCUCGUCCCACCGUGGGACACCCGGGGCCUUCCCACGCGGCGAGUCCCUUCUCUCCGGGCUCCGGACUUUUGGCUUAGGGGGCCCCACGCGCUCCCAGGACAGCCUGGUCCGCGCCGAGCGGCGACGUCAGGCGGGAGUUACUUAGUAGCCGCUGGGCGGCGGCCCCGCCCCCCCCGCCUAUACUUUGUAUCCGCGGAGGAAGGUCGGCUCGCCGAGGGGGCGGGGCCGGACGAGGCGCUAGGAAAGACCGAGGCUCCGCCCCCUCAAAGUCGGUCCCGCCCCAGUCCGCCUCCGACCAUCGAGCGCGCGGGCGGGAGGACUCGUCGUCCUAGAGGGGCCCGGAAACGGCUACCGGGCGGGGCCUGUGCGGACAUCGCCCGCCUCCUGGCGAGCGGAGCCUCCGGGCGGCCCGCGGCCCAGACGCGCCGGCAGGCUCCGCGAAGGAGCGGGCGGCUUUGGUCCCGGAGCCCUGGAGCGGCCCGCGAGCUCGGGGUCGGGGGAGGCGGGGCCUGGGGAGGGGACGGACGUGACGUCAAGGUCACUUCCGGUCUGGCCGGCCGUCCCCCCCGGGCCCCGAGGAGCCGCCGCCGCCGCCGUCAGGGAAGGAGGAGGAGGAAGAGGAGGAAGAAGCCCGAGGACCAAGGAGGAGGAAGGGAGGAAGGAGGAAGCGGCGGCGGCUCCGGGGUGCCCGCCCGACCUACACGGACAGGAACAGGAACCGCGCCGGAUCUCCGCCCCCGGCAUGGAGCUGCGGGAGGAGGACUGGUCCCCCGAGCCCCUGGACUCCUCGGGCAAGUGGCCACCGAGCCCGGGAGGGGAGGGAGGGGAAAGAGAAGCGCAGGUGACGGAAGCACUGUCAGCUCUGGGGCUGCAGAGCCAGGACUCGGGGGCUGCAGAGCCAAGACUCGGGGGCUGCAGAGCCAGGCCUUGGGGGCUGCAGAGCCAGGACUGGGGG